UGAAUACGAGACGCUACGGCGUCGAAGCAGUCUAUGUCAUACUUCCAAGAAAAGCUCGCAAUGUCAUAAACAAAUAAUGCCUGUACCAUAACCGACACAGGUGGGUAGGUAGAGUAUACUAAGGGGCGCGAGAUAACUCUCUCUAAGGAACUCGGCAAAAUGACUCCGUAACUUCGGGAGAAGGAGUGCCUUAUUUAUAAGGUUGCAAUAACAAGAUCCAAGCAACUGUUUAUCAAAAACACAGGUCUCCGCUAAGUCGUAAGACGAUGUAUGGGGGCUGACGCCUGCCCAGUGCCAGAAGGUUAAAGAAGUUGGUUAGCAUUCGCGAAGCUGAUAACUGAAGCCCUGGUGAACGGCGGCCGUAACUAUAACGGUCCUAAGGUAGCGAAAUUCCUUGUCGGGUAAGUUCCGACCCGCACGAAAGGCGUAAUGAUUUGGAUACUGUCUCGGAGAGGGGCUCGGUGAAAUAGACUUGUCUGUGAAGAUGCGGACUACCUGCACCUGGACAGAAAGACCCUAUGAAGCUUUACUGUAACUUGAAAUUGAAAUUGGACUUUAUUUGCGCAGCAUAGGUGGGAGGCGUUGAGAGUAUUCUUGCGGGAAUAUUGGAGCCAUCAGUGAGAUACCACUCUUGUAAUGUUAGAUUUCUAACUUUGGAUCAUUAUCUGGUCAAAGAACAGUUUCAGGCGGGCAGUUUGACUGGGGCGGUCGCCUCCCAAAUGGUAACGGAGGCGUACAAAGGUUUCCUCUGAACGGGUAGAAAUCGUAUCUAGAGUGUAAAGGCAUAAGGAAGCUUGACUGUGAGACCUACAAGUCGAGCAGGGACGAAAGUCGGUCUUAGUGAUCUGACGGUGCUGAGUGGAAAGGCCGUCACUCAACGGAUAAAAGUUACUCUAAGGAUAACAGGCUGAUCUCCCCCAAGAGUUCACAUCGACGGGGAGGUUUGGCACCUCGAUGUCGGCUCAUCGCAUCCUGGGGCGGUAGUACGUCCCAAGGGUUGGGCUGUUCGCCCAUGAAAGCGGUACGCGAGCUGGGUUCAGAACGUCGUGAGACAGUUCGGUCCAUAUCCGGUGUAGGCGUUAGAAUAUUGAGAGGAGCCUUCUUUAGUACGAGAGGACCGAGAAGGUCAUACCUCUGGUGUACCAGUUAUCGUGCCAACGGUAAACGCUGGGUAGCUAUGUAUGGAGAGGAUAACCGCUGAAAGCAUCUAAGUGGGAAGCCCACCUCAAGAUAAGUAUUCCC
rnacentral:rRNA from 1 species